UAUGAGACACCUUUUGUUUGAAGGCAACAAUAUAAAAGAAUCUACUUUCUUCAUCUGCACACCGCCAUAAACAACCACUCCUCUUACCUACACCACCUCUAUCGACGACCUUCACCAUUGCUCCACUCGGAGACCAUCAGACGCUGAGAAAUUGACCCCGACUCCGUCCUCUAGCCACGUCGCUGCCCUCUACCUGCCCUGCACAUCCAGCACCGCCCUCCCCCCGACGCUUCCCAUUAUCUGAUUUUGUUCUCGCCAAAAUAUGCUCGCUUUAGAUGAUUUUCAUCCAUAAUGCUAAAAUCGGUAGCUUGAAGAGGGCUAAAGACGAUAAGAAGGAUGCAUAUGAUAUCACCACCACCACCAUCACCAUCUCUUCACAACAACGUUUCUUUUUCUUCUUCCUUACAUGAACAUCUACGACCAAGAUAUAUCAGAUAUAUAUUUCUUAAAGCCAAAAGAAACGCACAUCAUUUGCUCAUUCUCGACACCUCCUCAAUCUUCAGAUCUGUAAGAAUCAUGUAUCUUUAGAUCUAGAGUCAGACGAAGUUAUGAUUUAAAAUUUCAAGUUAAUAUGGUGUCGGAGUUGCAAACAAGUCUAAAACCAAAAUUAUGGAUGUCUAUUCUGGCUCCGGGCAGCCAACAAUAAGACAUAUCAGAGGCAAAGGUAGGUGCAGCUCAAAUACCAUCCCAAUUCCAAAUUCUAUGGAUCAUAUUACCCAAGGGUUAAAAGGUAAUUGUUAUGAAUCAUACUGGAUAGGUCUUAUAUCAAAGGUGAAUUAUGUUUAUGAUAUUGUCGAUUUUUAACUUUAUGAAUACCAUAAUAUAUUAAGGGAAAGUAUGUUUUCUGUUUUGUGGAAAAAAGAAGGAUCAUUGUUCUUUCAAGUUGAUGAAGUUCAAUAUUCGCAUCAUUUGACCUUAGCAUAGCGAGUAAAUGCCUAUUUCCAGAAUCAUCUAAAAAUACCCAAUUAAAUAUUUUUUUAUUAACUUAUUGAGUUAUUUAAAUCAUAAUUUACAUAUCUACCCUAAUAGAUUUGGAUCUACUGAUACUCUCCAUUUCACCACUAUCGGUAUCGACUCCUUUGCUGCAAUGGACGUUUUUGAGUCAACAUACUGUGAAGGGCUUACUGCAUGUUCUCUUAAAUCUAUAGCAUCCUACUUUCAUUCUUUUUAUCACAUCAUUGUAAUUUCAUUUCAUUAUUUUUUCUUAUUAGUGCAGUAUAUUUUGACAAAUUAAAAUUAAAUAUAACAUUGUAUUUCCAAUACAGUUUUCAGUAGGGCAUUAUACUCUACAAAAUAUAUUCAGUUAUAAAUUACUAUACUUAGAUACAUUUUUAAAGUGUAAUGCUCUAAUAAAAAGAAGUUAGACUAAGGUGUUAUAACAAAGAAAUCAGUAAAAGUACAAUGUUAUUAUAAGAAAAAUAUGCUUCUAAGUUGCUAACUAAUUUUUUAGUGCUCUGGUCAUUUCUUUAUUUAAUGCCAUUUAAAAAGCUUUAAGGGCUAAAUGCUGGAAAUACUGACAUACUUUUGAUUAAUUGUUUAGAUACCAAUUUCAUUGUUCUAUUACAACAUUGUACUUUCAAAAACAUAUCUAUUUAUAGCAUUAUACUUUUGUUUAUUUAAUAAUGCUGAUGAGAAAUGAAAGUACAAUGUUAUAAAUAUGGAGGUUUUUGAAAGUUGAAUGUUGUAACAGAAAAGAAACACUUUUGAUCAUUUCGUUACUUGGUUAUGUUUUCACAGGUUCAUGUUAUUGUGGUUAUGUUUUGAUCAUCUCUUUACAUUGUUGCAUUUCUUUUGGAUUUUUUUUCAUUUUUUACUUUUUAUGCUUUGGUUAUUCUUGGUCAUAAGCCAAUUCAAGCUAUGUAGAAGUUUAACUGAUAGAAAUGGUAAACAUUUAAGCUGUAAUUAAUCUAUAGGUAAAGUUCAUGGGUCUUAUGCUUUAA